rnacentral:rRNA from 1 species
UACGGGGGGUGCGAGCGUUGUCCGGAAUCACUGGGCGUAAAGGGCGCGUAGGUGGUUUGAUAAGGGUGUGGUGAAAGUCCGGAGCUCAACUCCGGAUCUGCCGUGCCGACUGUCAAACUCGAGGGCUGUAGAGGCAGACGGAAUUCCGGGUGUAGCGGUGGAAUGCGUAGAGAUCCGGAGGAACCCCAGAGGCGAAGGCGACUUUCUGGGCUGCUACUGACGCUGAGGCGCGAAAGUCAGGGGAGCGAACAGG